AUUGAACGCUGGCGGCAGGCCUAACACAUGCAAGUCGAGCGGAUGAAGGGAGCUUGCUCCUGGAUUCAGCGGCGGACGGGUGAGUAAUGCCUAGGAAUCUGCCUGGUAGUGGGGGAUAACGUCCGGAAACGGGCGCUAAUACCGCAUACGUCCUGAGGGUGAAAGUGGGGGAUCUUCGGACCUCACGCUAUCAGAUGAGCCUAGGUCGGAUUAGCUAGUUGGUGGGGUAAAGGCCUACCAAGGCGACGAUCCGUAACUGGUCUGAGAGGAUGAUCAGUCACACUGGAACUGAGACACGAUCCAGACUCCUACGGGAGGCAGCAGUGGGGAAUAUUGGACAAUGGGCGAAAGCCUGAUCCAGCCAUGCCGCGUGUGUGAAGAAGGUCUUCGGAUUGUAAAGCACUUUAAGUUGGGAGGAAGAGCAGUAAGUUAAUACCUUGCUGUUUUGACGUUACCAACAGAAUAAGCACCGGCUAACUUCGUG
rnacentral:rRNA from 1 species